GGUGGAAUGACCGAGCGGUUAAGGUGAUUGAUUAGAAUUAAACCUCUGAUAUCAAUUCUCGAAAGGGGCCAGGGUUCAAAUCCCUGUUCCACCU